UGGCGAACGGGUGAGUAACACGUGGGUAAUCUGCCCUGCACUCUGGGAUAAGCCUGGGAAACUGGGUAUAAUACUGGAUAUGACCUUUCUCCUUAUGGGGUUUGGUGGAAAGUUUUUCGGUGUAGGAUGAGCCCGCGGCCUAUCAGCUUGUUGGUGGGGUGAUGGCCUACCAAGGCGACGACGGGUAGCCGGCCUGAGAGGGUGAUCGGCCACAUUGGGACUGAGGUACGGCCCAG
rnacentral:rRNA from 1 species